UCUCCGUUGGUGAACCAGCGGAGGGAUCAUUACAGAGUUGCAAAACUCCCAAACCCUUGUGAACGUUACCUAUCCCGUUGCUUUGGCGGGCGGCCCGGGCCCCGCGCCCGGCGCCCCCCGGCCCCCCGUGGGCGCCCGCCGGAGGUAAACCAAACCCUUGAAUUGCAUGGCCUCUCUGAGUCUUCUGUACUGAAUAAGUCAAAACUUUCAACAACGGAUCUCUUGGUUCUG
rnacentral:misc_RNA from 1 species